CCUACGGGAGGCAGCAGUGAGGAAUAUUGGUCAAUGGACGAGAGUCUGAACCAGCCAAGUAGCGUGAAGGAUGACUACCCUAUGGGUUGUAAACUUCUUUUAUAUGGGAAUAAAAUGUUCCACGUGUGGGAUUUUGUAUGUACCAUAUGAAUAAGGAUCGGCUAACUCCGUGCCAGCAGCCGCGGUAAUACGGAGGAUCCGAGCGUUAUCCGGAUUUAUUGGGUUUAAAGGGAGCGUAGGUGGAUUGUUAAGUCAGUUGUGAAAGUUUGCGGCUCAACCGUAAAAUUGCAGUUGAAACUGGCAGUCUUGAGUACAGUAGAGGUGGGCGGAAUUCGUGGUGUAGCGGUGAAAUGCUUAGAUAUCACGAAGAACUCCGAUUGCGAAGGCAGUUCACUGGACUGCAACUGACACUGAGGCUCGAAAGUGUGGGUAUCAAACAGGAUUAGAUACCCCAGUAGUC
rnacentral:rRNA from 1 species